AACAAGGAGUGCUGUUUCGAAGUAGCGGCUAGAGGGGCCCCCUGCCUCCGCCCCCGCCCUUCCGAGGAUUCCUGGAGUCCACUCACCCCUCCCCAACACUCCAGUAGCAGGCGGGAGCAGCAGCAUCAGGCCGGGGUGUGGCUGCACCUCCGCGAAGGCGGCAGUUCCCCGUGCAGCUGCGGCGUUCAGGUGGGGGAGGGGAGGCUCACACCCUGCGGCGGCUUAAGCCUGGAUGUACGCAUUCGAGGAGGGAAUUAGCCCGGAGAUGUCAGCCCUGUGCCCCUGGCUCUGUCCACCCGGACGCCUGCGGAGCGCCAGGCGCCGCAGCGGACCGCGCGCGCACUGAUUGCCGCAACUCCUCUUCCUGCCGUCGCCGCCUGGGACCGGGUGACAUUGAGGUUUUCGUCUAUCGCCGCUGGGCCGAUAGGGCUUCUUUUUAAGAUUUGACUUUCCAAGUAAGAUUUUUGUUUGCCUGCUUUUCUUCUGAAUUUUUUUUUUUUUUUUUUUUUGGUCGAAGAAGCAGCUCCCACUUUGCAGUUGUGUCAGCCAAUCACAACAGCUUCCCAGACUUCCAUGCAAGCUUCUGCUUUGAGUCCAAGGUGGCCAUAAAUGGCAGCUCCUCAAGCUCCUCCAUAGUCUCUGGUUUCUUACGUUUCUCCAUGAGCUCAGCUUUUUGAUUGACUCCAAUGCUUCAAGCCAAAGUCAUUAGUGAAUGUUCUACAAUCUUUCAAUGGCAACUCCAGACCUUCACUCCUCCAGCUUCUCCUACAUCCAUCUAACCCUCAAUUCCUGCAUUAAAUGUCUUUGUUCCAGAAUA